UACAGAGGGUGCAAGCGUUGUUCGGAAUUACUGGGCGUAAAGGGCGUGUAGGCGGUCUGGCAAGUCAGAUGUGAAAUCCCGGGGCUUAACUCCGGAAGUGCAUUUGAAACUGCCAGGCUUGGGUGCUGUAGAGGAUGGCGGAAUACCCAGUGGAGAGGUGAAAUUCGUAGAUAUUGGGUGGAACACCGGUGGCGAAGGCGGCCUGCUGGGCUAUGGCUGACACUGAGGCGCGACAGCGUGGGGAGCAAACAGG
rnacentral:rRNA from 1 species